CAGUAGCCGCGGGAAUACGUAGGGUGCAAGCGUUAAUCGGAAUUACUGGGCGUAAAGGGAGCGUAGGCGGAUCGUUAAGUUGGGGGUGAAAGCCCGGGGCUCAACCUCGGAACUGCCUUCAAUACUGGCGAUCUUGAGUAUGAGAGAGGUGUGUGGAACUCCGAGCGUAGAGGUGAAAUUCGUAGAUAUUCGGAAGAACACCAGUGGCGAAGGCGACACACUGGCUCAUUACUGACGCUGAGGCUCGAAAGCGUGGGGAGCAAACAGGAUUAGAUACCCCAGUAGUCCCUGUCUCUUAUAC
rnacentral:rRNA from 1 species